rnacentral:rRNA from 1 species
GACGAACGCUGGCGGCGUGCUUAACACAUGCAAGUCGAACGGAAAGGCCCUGCUUUUGUGGGGUGCUCGAGUGGCGAACGGGUGAGUAACACGUGAGUAACCUGCCCUUGACUUUGGGAUAACUUCAGGAAACUGGGGCUAAUACCGGAUAGGAGCUCCUGCUGCAUGGGGGGGGUUGGAAAGUUUCGGCGGUUGGGGGUGGACUCAGGGCUUAUCAGCUUGUUGGUCGGGUAAUGGCUUACCCAGGGUUUGACGGGUAGACGGACUGAUAGGGUGAUCGGUGACCCUGGAGCUGAGACACGGUCCAGACGCCUACGGUAGGCAGCAGUGUGGAACAUGGGACAAUGGGCGAAAGCCUGACACAGUCAGGCCGCGUGUGAGAAGAAGGUCUUCGGAGUGUAAAGCACUUUUAGUUGGGAGGAACGGCAGUAGGCUAAUACCUUGCUGUUUUGACGGUACCGACAGAAUAAGCACCGGCUAACUACGUG